rnacentral:tRNA from 1 species
GGGGCCGUGGCUCAGUGGCAGAGCGCUUGCCUAACAUGCGUGAGGCCCUGGGUUCAAUCCUCGGCACCA